GAUGAACGCUGGCGGCGUGCUUAACACAUGCAAGUCGAACGGAGUACCCCUGAAGGAGUUUUCGGACAACUGAUGGGACUACUUAGUGGCGGACGGGUGAGUAACGCGUGAGUAACCUGCCUUGGAGUGGGGAAUAACAGCUGGAAACAGCUGCUAAUACCGCAUAAUAUAUCUGUGUCGCAUGGCAGUGGAUAUCAAAGAUUUAUCGCUCUGAGAUGGACUCGCGUCUGAUUAGCUAGUUGGCGGGGUAACGGCCCACCAAGGCGACGAUCAGUAGCCGGACUGAGAGGUUGGCCGGCCACAUUGGGACUGAGACACGGCCCAGACUCCUACGGGAGGCAGCAGUGGGGAAUAUUGGGCAAUGGGCGCAAGCCUGACCCAGCAACGCCGCGUGAAGGAAGAAGGCUUUCGGGUUGUAAACUUCUUUUCUCAGGGACGAAGCAAGUGACGGUACCUGAGGAAUAAGCCACGGCUAACUACGUGCCAGCAGCCGCGGUAAUACGUAGGUGGCAAGCGUUAUCCGGAUUUACUGGGUGUAAAGGGCGUGUAGGCGGGACUGCAAGUCAGAUGUGAAAACCACGGGCUCAACCUGUGGCCUGCAUUUGAAACUGUAGUUCUUGAGUACUGGAGAGGCAGACGGAAUUCCUAGUGUAGCGGUGAAAUGCGUAGAUAUUAGGAGGAACACCAGUGGCGAAGGCGGUCUGCUGGACAGCAACUGACGCUGAGGCGCGAAAGCGUGGGGAGCAAACAGGAUUAGAUACCCUGGUAGUCCACGCUGUAAACGAUGGAUACUAGGUGUGGGGGGACUGACCCCCUCCGUGCCGCAGUUAACACAAUAAGUAUCCCACCUGGGGAGUACGAUCGCAAGGUUGAAACUCAAAGGAAUUGACGGGGGCCCGCACAAGCGGUGGAGUAUGUGGUUUAAUUCGAAGCAACGCGAAGAACCUUACCAGGGCUUGACAUCCCGGUGACCGCUGUAGAGAUACAGUUUUCCCUUCGGGGACACUGGUGACAGGUGGUGCAUGGUUGUCGUCAGCUCGUGUCGUGAGAUGUUGGGUUAAGUCCCGCAACGAGCGCAACCCUUAUUGUUAGUUGCUACGCAAGAGCACUCUAGCGAGACUGCCGUUGACAAAACGGAGGAAGGUGGGGACGACGUCAAAUCAUCAUGCCCCUUAUGUCCUGGGCCACACACGUACUACAAUGGUGGUCAACAGAGGGAAGCAAUACCGCGAGGUGGAGCAAAUCCCUAAAAGCCAUCCCAGUUCGGAUCGCAGGCUGCAACCCGCCUGCGUGAAGUUGGAAUCGCUAGUAAUCGCGGAUCAGCAUGCCGCGGUGAAUACGUUCCCGGGCCU
rnacentral:rRNA from 1 species